GACGGAGGGGGCAAGCGUUGUUCGGAAUCAUUGGGCGUAAAGGGCUCGUAGGCGGACUAGUAAGUCUGGCGUGAAAUCUCCACCGCUCACCGGGGAGAGGUCGCUGGAUACUGCUAGUCUUGAGUUCGGUAGAGGUCGUGGAAUUUCGGGUGUAGCGGUGGAAUGCGUAGAUAUCCGAAAGAACACCGGUGGCGAAGGCGGCGACCUGGGCCUGAACUGACGCUGAGGAGCGAAAGCUAGGGAGCAAACGGG
rnacentral:rRNA from 1 species